rnacentral:lncRNA from 1 species
AAAAGAAGGGAGAUUUAGACUGGAUAUAAGGAAAACAUUAUUUUAUGGUAAGGGUAGUGCAGCACUGGCACAGAUUGCCCAGAGAGGUGGUGGUUGUCCUGUCCCUGCAGACACCCAAGUUCAGGCUGGAUGGGGCUCUGAGCACCUGAUGGAGCUGUGGGUGUCUCUGCUCAUUGUAAGGGCUUGGACCAGAUGGCUUUUAAGGGUCCCUUCCAACUCAAUUGAUUCUAUGAUUCUAUCAUUCUAUCUAAAAACAUGGUGCUGUAGCAGCUACAGGAAGAAAAAUAACUCUGCCACAACCAGGACAGAGGCUUCCAAGUGGCUCUAUCAAUAUGUUAAAGGUUGCGUAACGCAUCUGUGAACUCACUGGGGUGUGACUUUGGAAAUGUCUUGAAGAUAAAUGAGGACCCAGUGUUUCCAGUGUGCUUCUCGUUAGUAGGAAAGCAUCUGAGGCAGUCAGCUGGCAGAAUCUGUGUAUCCCAGCUCCCGGUGCCCCUUGUACAGAGAGGUUGCCUUUGGGAGACCCCUUGGCCCUUCUCUAUUAUGCUCAGAGCUGUAAAGGUUGCUCUUUAAGGGCUUUCUGAAUGAAACUUGGGGCUUAACUGAAGAUUGCUCAGCUGUAUAAAGAUAGAGGGUUUGAGAUGAAGAUCCUGCUAUUCACCCUCUAAAUCUGCUGCUCUUUUUCCCUCAGUAUCCUUCUCCAGAGGAAUACCAAAUCUGAUCUCGCCCCCCAAUGCUUUGAGGUCUUCAGAUUGGAAAUGCCAAGCACGCUUUGAGGCAGGACUGGAACAGCAUUGGUGAACAACAGGAAAAGUCAAAGGAGAUGUGCACAGCUCUUGCUAAAUGCAAAACUGGGAAUGUCAUGCCCCUCAGGCAGGAACCACUUUUUCAUGGAACAGGAGGUUAUCUGCUUGCUAGAGGCUCCAGGGAAAGAAACCCGAGUCAGAGGCUGUCUUCCUCACAGCUCUGGAAAAGAAUGGCUGGAGAUUUCUGGAAUGUGAAGGGCCAAGCAGCCUUGCUCCUUAGCUGUUCACUGCAGCAGUAUGAGCUUCCUCCUGUACCUUCCAAGAACUCAUCAUUAGGCCAAAAGAGAAGGCUUGCUCCAGUCGGUCAGGUUCCUGGAGGAAUCCCGUGUCAAAGGCCCAGAUCUCUCCAUCUGGCCCCUCACUGCAAGAAAGACAUGGAGGCCCUGGAGCGGGUUCAAAGAAGGGCAACAAAACUGGUGAGGGGUCUGGAGCACAAAUCCUAUGAGGAGCGGCUGAAGGAGCUGGGGUUGUUCAGUCUGGAGAAGAGGAGGCUCAGGGGAGGCCAUAUUGCUCUCUAUAGCUACGUGAAGGGAGGCUGUAGCGAGCUGGGGGUCGGCCUCUUCUCU